GAUGAACGCUAGCGGCAGGCCUAAUACAUGCAAGUCGAGGGGCAGCGCGGUAGCAAUACUGGCGGCGACCGGCGCACGGGUGCGUAACACGUAUGCAACCUACCUUCAACUGGAGGAUAGCCCGGGGAAACUCGGAUUAAUACUCCAUAACACAGGGAUCCCGCAUGGGAAUAUUGUUAAAGCUACGGCGGUUGAAGAUGGGCAUGCGUUCGAUUAGCUAGUUGGUGUAGGUAACGGCUCACCAAGGCUACGAUCGAUAGGGGGUCUGAGAGGAUGAUCCCCCACACUGGUACUGAGAUACGGACCAGACUCCUACGGGAGGCAGCAGUAGGGAAUAUUGGUCAAUGGGCGCAAGCCUGGAACCAGCCAUGCCGCGUGCAGGAAGAAGGGCCCCUCUGGGUUGUAAACUGCUUUUGAUAGGGACAAUGCCACUUGCGAGUGGAGCUGAGUGUACCUAUAGAAUAAGCACCGGCUAACUCCGUGCCAGCAGCCGCGUAA
rnacentral:rRNA from 1 species